rnacentral:rRNA from 1 species
GACGAACGCUGGCGGCGUGCUUAACACAUGCAAGUCGAACGGAAAGGCCCUGCUCUUGUGGGGUGCUCGAUUGGCGAACGCGUGAGUAACACGUGAGUAUCCUGCCCUUGUCUUUGGGAUAACUUCAGGAAACUGGGGCUAAUAUCGGAUAGGAGCUCCUGCUGCAUGGUGGGGGUUGGAAAGUUUCGGCGUUUGGGGAUGGAUUCGCGGCUUACCGGCUUGUUGGUGGGGUAGUGGCUUACCAAGGCUUUGACGGGUAGCCGGCCUGAGAGGGUGACAGGCGACAUUGGGACUGAGGGACGGCCCAGACUGCUACGGGAGGCAGCAGUGGGGAAUAUUGCACAAUGGGCGGAAGCCUGAUGAAGCAACGCCGCGGGCGGGAUGACGGCCUUAGGGUUGUAAACCGCUUUCGCCUGUGACGAAGCGUGAGUGACGGUAAUGGGUAAAGAAGCACCGGCUAACUACGUG